rnacentral:rRNA from 1 species
UACGUAGGGAGCGAGCGUUAUCCGGAUUUAUUGGGUGUAAAGCGUGUGUAGACGGUUUCUUAAGUCUAUAGUCUAAGCCUGGAGCUUAACUCCAGUUCGCUAUGGAAACUGAGAGACUUGAGUAUGGUAGAGGCAAGUGGAAUUUCUAGUGUAGCGGUGGAAUGCGUAGAUAUUAGAAGGAACACCAGUGGCGAAGGCGGCUUGCUGGGCCAUCACUGACGUUGAGACACGAAAGCGUGGGGAGCGAAUAG